rnacentral:tRNA from 1 species
GGUUCCAUAACUCAGUUGGUUAGAGUGUGAUGCUAAUAAAGUCAAAGUCGAGGGUUCGACCCCCUCUGGAACCA